CUUCAGGGUGAUUUGGUUACCUGUGGAGUUUUAUCUGGAAACAAAAAUUUUGAAGGUCGUCUUUGUGAUUGUGUCCGUGCCAACUAUCUUGCCUCUCCACCCUUGGUGGUGGCUUAUGCCAUAGCAGGCACAGUGAAUAUAGAUUUCCAGACCGAGCCUUUAGGUACUGACACUACUGGCAAGAACAUUUACCUACAUGAUAUUUGGCCUACUCGAGAGGAAGUUCAUCAGAUAGAGGAAGAGCAUGUUAUAUUGUCCAUGUUUAAAACAUUAAAAGAGAAAAUAGAGAUGGGAAAUAAGCAGUGGGAUUCCUUAGAAGCACCAGAUUCACUCUUGUUUCCAUGGGACUUGAAGUUUACUUAUAUCAGAUGCCCUUCAUUUUUUGAUAAGCUUACCAAAGAGCCAGUUUCACUGCGGUCUAUUGAAAAUGCCCACGUCCUACUGCAUCUGGGAGACUGUGUCACCACAAACCGUAUAUCGCCCGCUGGAAGCAUUGCGAGGAGUAGUGCUGCUGCUAAAUACUUGGCCAGUAGAGGGUAUGUGUGCCUGGUGUUC